GGCGAGAUGGCCGAGCGGUUAUGGCGGAUGACUCAAGAAAAAGUUCUUACCCGUCUAAACGGGCAGCAUUCAUCUGGGGCAACCCGCGUGGGUUCGAAUCCCACUCUCGUCA